GGGUUGUGAGGUUAAGCGACUAAGCGUACACGGUGGAUGCCCUGGCAGUCAGAGGCGAUGAAGGGCGUGCUAAUCUGCGAUAAGCGCCGGUAAGGUGAUAUGAACCGUUAUAACCGGCGAUACCCGAAUGGGGAAACCCAGUGUGAUUCGUCACACUAUCAUUAACUGAAUCCAUAGGUUAAUGAGGCGAACCGGGGGAACUGAAACAUCUAAGUACCCCGAGGAAAAGAAAUCAACCGAGAUUCCCCCAGUAGCGGCGAGCGAACGGGGAGGAGCCCAGAGCCUGAAUCAGCAUGUGUGUUAGUGGAAGCGUCUGGAAAGGCGCGCGAUACAGGGUGACAGCCCCGUACACAAAAGCGCAUGUGCUGUGAGCUCGAUGAGUAGGGCGGGACACGUGGUAUCCUGUCUGAAUAUGGGGGGACCAUCCUCCAAGGCUAAAUACUCCUGACUGACCGAUAGUGAACCAGUACCGUGAGGGAAAGGCGAAAAGAACCCCGGCGAGGGGAGUGAAAAAGAACCUGAAACCGUGUACGUACAAGCAGUGGGAGCACAGGUUUACCUGUGUGACUGCGUACCUUUUGUAUAAUGGGUCAGCGACUUAUAUUCUGUAGCAAGGUUAACCGAAUAGGGGAGCCGGAGGGAAACCGAGUCUUAAUUGGGCGUUAAGUUGCAGGGUAUAGACCCGAAACCCGGUGAUCUAGCCAUGGGCAGGUUGAAGGUUGGGUAACACUAACUGGAGGACCGAACCGACUAAUGUUGAAAAAUUAGCGGAUGACCUGUGGCUGGGGGUGAAAGGCCAAUCAAACCGGGAGAUAGCUGGUUCUCCCCGAAAGCUAUUUAGGUAGCGCCUCGUGAAUUCAUCUCCGGGGGUAGAGCACUGUUUCGGCUAGGGGGCCAUCCCGGCUUACCAACCCGAUGCAAACUGCGAAUACCGGAGAAUGUUAUCACGGGAGACACACGGCGGGUGCUAACGUCCGUCGUGAAGAGGGAAACAACCCAGACCGCCAGCUAAGGUCCCAAAGUCAUGGUUAAGUGGGAAACGAUGUGGGAAGGCCCAGACAGCCAGGAUGUUGGCUUAGAAGCAGCCAUCAUUUAAAGAAAGCGUAAUAGCUCACUGGUCGAGUCGGCCUGCGCGGAAGAUGUAACGGGGCUAAACCAUGCACCGAAGCUGCGGCAGCGACGCUUAUGCGUUGUUGGGUAGGGGAGCGUUCUGUAAGCCUGUGAAGGUGGCCUGUGAGGGUUGCUGGAGGUAUCAGAAGUGCGAAUGCUGACAUAAGUAACGAUA
rnacentral:rRNA from 1 species